rnacentral:rRNA from 1 species
GACAGAGGUCCCGAGCGUUGUUCGGAUUCAUUGGGCGUAAAGGGUGUGUAGGAGGUCGGGUAAGUCAGGUGUGAAAUCUCACAGCUUAACUGUGAAACUGCAUUGGAUACUAUCCGGCUCGAGGAAUGGAGGGGAGACUGGAAUACUUGGUGUAGCAGUGAAAUGCGUAGAUAUCAAGUGGAACACCAGUGGCGAAGGCGAGUCUCUGGACAUUUCCUGACGCUGAGGCACGAAAGCCAGGGGAGCAAACGGG